GGGCCCGCACAAGCAGUGGAGUAUGUGGUUUAAUUCGACGCUACGCGAAGAACCUUACCAGGUCUUGACAUCCGACUAACGAAGCAGAGAUGCAUUAGGUGCCCUUCGGGGAAAGUCGAGACAGGUGGUGCAUGGUUGUCGUCAGCUCGUGUCGUGAGAUGUUGGGUUAAGUCCCGCAACGAGCGCAACCCUUGCCGAUAGUUACUACGAAAGAGGACUCUAUCGGGACUGCCGUUGACAAAACGGAGGAAGGUGGGGAUGACGUCAAAUCAUCAUGCCCCUUAUGACCUGGGCUACACACGUACUACAAUGGCUGUUCACAGAGGGAUGCAAAGCCGCGAGGCAGAGCGAAACCCUAAAAACAGUCUCAGUUCAGAUUGCAGGCUGCAACCCGCCUGCAUGAAGUCGGAAUUGCUAGUAAUCGCGGAUCAGCAUGCCGCGGUGAAUACGUUCCCGGGCCUU
rnacentral:rRNA from 1 species